rnacentral:rRNA from 1 species
UACGAAGGGGGCUAGCGUUGCUCGGAAUCACUGGGCGUAAAGGGUGCGUAGGCGGGUCUUUAAGUCAGGGGUGAAAUCCUGGAGCUCAACUCCAGAACUGCCCUUGAUACUGAAGGUCUUGAGUUCGGGAGAGGUGAGUGGAACUGCGAGUGUAGAGGUGAAAUUCGUAGAUAUUCGCAAGAACACCAGUGGCGAAGGCGGCUCACUGGCCCGAUACUGACGCUGAGGCGCGAAGGCUAGGGGAGCAAACGGG